rnacentral:rRNA from 1 species
AACGAACGCUGGCGGCAUGCCUAACACAUGCAAGUCGAACGAGAUCUUCGGGUCUAGUGGCGCACGGGUGCGUAACGCGUGGGAAUCUGCCCUUUGGUUCGGAAUAACAGUUGGAAACGACUGCUAAUACCGGAUGAUGACGAAAUUCCAAAGAUUUAUCGCCAGAGGAUGAGCCCGCGUAGGAUUGGCUAGUUGGUGUGGUAAAGGCGCACCAAGGCGACGAUCCUUAGCUGGUCUGAGAGGAUGAUCAGCCACACUGGGACUGAGACACGGCCCAGACUCCUACGGGAGGCAGCAGUGGGGAAUAUUGGACAAUGGGCGAAAGCCUGAUCCAGCAAUGCCGCGUGAGUGAUGAAGGCCUUAGGGUUGUAAAGAUCUUUGACCCGGGAUGAUAAUGACGGUACCGGGAGAAUAAGCUCCGGCUAACUCCGUGCCAGCCGCCGCUGUAA